rnacentral:lncRNA from 1 species
UGAACUUUCCAGACCUUGGUUCCCCGCUAAGAAGAAAAGGAGCCCUGAAAGCCACCUUUGGUUACUGGCCUGAAAUGCCCUGAGGAACAUAAGCAACGUCAUGGAAUUUUUACAUCAGAUGAGGUCUCUAAUGAGAUGGAAGUGAUGAAGGGCAGCAUCUAAGUUUAUCUCCUUCCUGCUGUAUCCUGAGGAGCUGGAUGGUCCCCUGCCUGAAGGAAGAACCAAAGUAGUGUUGAAUUAAUAGAUAAAUGAAGCUAACUACUUUUUACAGUAAAGUGCUUUAAAAUGAAUAUGUAAUUGCAUUUAUUAAUCCUUGGGAAG